rnacentral:rRNA from 1 species
UACGUAGGGUGCGAGCGUUGUCCGGAAUUAUUGGGCGUAAAGAGCUUGUAGGCGGUUUGUAGCGUCUGCUGUGAAAAUCCGGGGCUCAACCCCGGACUUGCAGUGGGUACGGGCAGACUAGAGUGUGGUAGGGGAGACUGGAAUUCCUGGUGUAGCGGUGAAAUGCGCAGAUAUCAGGAGGAACACCGAUGGCGAAGGCAGGUCUCUGGGCCACUACUGACGCUGAGAAGCGAAAGCGUGGGGAGCGAACAGG